rnacentral:rRNA from 1 species
GCGCUGGACCGUGCACMAGUCUCCUGGAAUGGAGCGUCAUAGAGGGUGAGAMUCCCGUCUUUGGCAUGGAUCCCAGGGCUUCUGUGAUGCGCUCUCGACGAGUCGAGUUGUUUGGGAAUGCAGCUCAAAAUGGGUGGUGAACUCCAUCUAAAGCUAAAUAUUGGCGAGAGACCGAUAGCGAACAAGUACCGUGAGGGAAAGAUGAAAAGCACUUUGGAAAGAGAGUGAAACAGUACGUGAAAUUGUUGAAAGGGAAACGCUUGAAGUCAGUCGCGUUGACCGAGACUCAACCUUGCCUUGGCUUGGUGUAUUUCUCGGCUGACGGGUCAGCAUCAAUUUUGACCCUCAGAUAAUGGCAAGGGAAARGUGGCACCUUUUAGGUGUGUUAUAGWCCCAUGUCGCAUGUGAGGGUUGGGAUUGAGGAACUCAGCAUGCACCUCCWGGUGUCGSGGCUUUGGCCCACGUUACAUGCUUAGGAUGCUGGCGUAAUGGCUUUUAACGACCCGUCUUGAAACACKGACCAAGKAGUCUAACWUACCCGCGWGUGUUCUGGUGGAAAACCCGUGCGCGUAWUKAAAGUWAAAGUUGGGACCUCUGUCGUGGAGGGACC